UACGGAGGGUGCAAGCGUUAUCCGGAUUCACUGGGUUUAAAGGGUGCGUAGGAGGGUAGGUAAGUCAGUGGUGAAAUCUUCGAGCUUAACUCGGAAACUGCCGUUGAUACUAUCUAUCUUGAAUACCGUGGAGGUGAGCGGAAUAUGUCAUGUAGCGGUGAAAUGCUUAGAUAUGACAUAGAACACCGAUUGCGAAGGCAGCUCGCUACACGAAUAUUGACUCUGAGGCACGAAAGCGUGGGGAUCAAACAGG
rnacentral:rRNA from 1 species